UACGUAGGGUGCAAGCGUUAAUCGGAAUUACUGGGCGUAAAGCGUGCGCAGGCGGCUUUGCAAGACAGAUGUGAAAUCCCCGGGCUCAACCUGGGAACUGCAUUUGUGACUGCAAGGCUGGAGUACGGCAGAGGGGGAUGGAAUUCCGCGUGUAGCAGUGAGAUGCGUAGAUAUGCGGAGGAACACCGAUGGCGAAGGCAAUCCCCUGGGCCUGUACUGACGCUCAUGCACGAAAGCGUGGGGAGCAAACAGG
rnacentral:rRNA from 1 species